GCGAGUUCUGGGCUCUAAGUCUAUGAAGAAGUCAAAUUCAUGGUCUAGAGACAUACCAGGAAAGUUAUCAGAAAAUACCUUAAAGAAUUUACAUACAACUGGGAUUGACACUAAAAGAGGAACUACAAAAUUAUCUUUUCGAAAAUGGAAUAAAAAUUCCCUACCCCCCCUAUUUUUUAAUUUCUGGGCACAAAUAGCUAAUACAAUUCUUACAUGAGCAUGCUUAAAGUACCUUUUCGCUCUAGCUUUUCUAUCCUCA
rnacentral:lncRNA from 1 species